rnacentral:rRNA from 1 species
GACGAACGCUGGCGGCGUGCCUAACACUUGCAAGUCGAACGGAAAGGCCCUGCUCUUGUGGGGUGCUCGAGUGGCGAACGGGUGAGUAACACGCGAGUAACCCCCCCCUGACUUUGUGAGAACUCCAGGAAACAGGGGCUCUUACACGAUAGAAUCUCUUGCUGCAUGUUGGGGGUUGGAAAGUUUCGGCGGUUGGGGAUGGACUCGCGGCUUACCAGCUUGUUGGUGGGGUAGUGGCUUACAAAGGCUUUGACGGGUAGCCGGCAUUGGAGGGUGGCCGGGCACAUGGGUACUGAGGUACGGCGCAGACUCCUACGUGAGGCAGUAGUGGGGAGUAUUGCACAAUGGGGGGAAGCCUGAUGCAGCAACGCCGCGUGCGGGAUGACAGCCUUCGGGUUGUAAACCGCUUUCGCCUGUGACGAGGCGUGAGUGACGGUAAUGGGUAAAGAAGCACCGGCUAACUACGUG